rnacentral:rRNA from 1 species
GAUGAGCGCUGGCGGCGUGCCUAAUACAUGCAAGUCGAGCGAACAGACGAGGAGCUUGCUCCUCUGACGUUAGCGGCGGACGGGUGAGUAACACGUGGAUAACCUACCUAUAAGACUGGGAUAACUUCGGGAAACCGGAGCUAAUACCGGAUAAUAUAUUGAACCGCAUGGUUCAAUAGUGAAAGACGGUUUUGCUGUCACUUAUAGAUGGAUCCGCGCCGCAUUAGCUAGUUGGUAAGGUAACGGCUUACCAAGGCAACGAUGCGUAGCCGACCUGAGAGGGUGAUCGGCCACACUGGAACUGAGACACGGUCCAGACUCCUACGGGAGGCAGCAGUAGGGAAUCUUCCGCAAUGGGCGAAAGCCUGACGGAGCAACGCCGCGUGAGUGAUGAAGGUCUUCGGAUCGUAAACCUCUGUUAUUAGGGAAGAACAAAUGUGUAAGUAACUAUGCACGUCUUGACGGUACCUAAUCAGAAAGCCACGGCUAACUACGUG